AAGACUAUAGACCUGCGGAGUACCUGCGGAGGGAUCAUUAUCAAUUUACAGCGGACUUCGGUCCUGUCUGCACCCUUGUCUUUUGCGUACUAUAUGUUUCCUCGGUGGGCUUGCCUGCCGAUAGGACACUUAUAAACUCUUUUGUAAUUGCAAUCAGCGUCAGAAAACUAUAAUAGUUACAACUUUUAACAAUGGAUCUCU
rnacentral:misc_RNA from 1 species